rnacentral:snRNA from 1 species
GUGCUAGCUUUGGCAGCAUGUAUACUAAAAUUAGAAUGAUUCAGAGAAGAUUAGCGUGGCCCCUAAGCAAGGAUGACAUGCAAAUUUGUGAAGCUUUCCACAUUUUU